rnacentral:rRNA from 1 species
CAGUAGCCGCGGGAAUACGUAGGUGGCAAGCGUUGUCCGGAUUUAUUGGGCGUAAAGCGAGCGCAGGCGGUUUCUUAAGUCUGAUGUGAAAGCCCCCGGCUCAACCGGGGAGGGUCAUUGGAAACUGGGAAACUUGAGUGCAGAAGAGGAGAGUGGAAUUCCAUGUGUAGCGGUGAAAUGCGUAGAUAUAUGGAGGAACACCAGUGGCGAAGGCGGCUCUCUGGUCUGUAACUGACGCUGAGGCUCGAAAGCGUGGGGAGCAAACAGGAUUAGAUACCCCAGUAGUCCCUGUCUCUUAUAU